UAAAGGUCUAAUAAUUCAACAUAAAUACACAAUCCACCCAUUCCCAAACAGCCCACUCCAACAACCCCGAAAACAAUUCAAAACUCCCGCGGCUUUGCAACUAUAGUCGAAUGGUUCAAAAUAUGAAGACUGAACUGCCCACCCUUCUCAGUCGUAUCCAGUUUCUUCAUCCCCGGUGGCGGCAGCAGCUCGAAGUUCUGCACCAACCGGCCGAUCGUAAUUCCAAGAAUCGGCAGCGCCAGUAUAAUCCCCGGGCAGCUCCGUCGCCCAACACCAAAAGGGAGGUAUCGAAAAUCAUUCCCAUUCGCCUCCACCUUUGCCUCCUCCUCCAAGAACCUCUCCGGCCUAAACUCCUCGGGCCUCUCCCAUUGGUCGGGAUUAUUUGCGAGCCACCAUGCGUUCACCAAGAUCUUGCUCUCUGCUGGGAUAUCGAAACCACCUAGCUUUGCAUCAUGGAGAUUCAUGUGGGGGACUAGGAGAGGGAUCGCCAUGCGGAGGCGGAGGGUCUCUUUGAUGACGGCUUGGAGAUAGGGGAGCUUGUGG
rnacentral:misc_RNA from 1 species